rnacentral:rRNA from 1 species
GUGGGGAAUAUUGGACAAUGGGCGAAAGCCUGAUCCAGCCAUGCCGCGUGUGUGAAGAAGGUCUUCGGAUUGUAAAGCACUUUAAGUUGGGAGGAAGGGCAGUAAGUUAAUACCUUGCUGUUUUGACGUUACCGACAGAAUAAGCACCGGCUAACUUCGUGCCAGCAGCCGCGGUAAUACGAAGGGUGCAAGCGUUAAUCGGAAUUACUGGGCGUAAAGCGCGCGUAGGUGGUUCAGCAAGUUGGAGGUGAAAUCCCCGGGCUCAACCUGGGAACUGCCUCCAAAACUGCAUGACUAGAGUACGGUAGAGGGUAGUGGAAUUUCCUGUGUAGCGGUGAAAUGCGUAGAUAUAGGAAGGAACACCAGUGGCGAAGGCGACUACCUGGACUGAUACUGACACUGAGGUGCGAAAGCGUGGGGAGCAAACAGGAUUAGAUACCCGGGUAGUCC